UUUGUCCCUUCGUGCCAUACAAAAGAAAGACAUUUUCUCAGGCUUUCCUUUUUGGCCUUUAAAUUCUCAGUUCACAGAGAGGAAAACAAUGUAUCUCCGCUAUUUAUUUAUUUAUUUAUUUAUUCAUUUAUUUAUUUCUUCUUUCACGUGGCAAAGGAUGCGCUCAGCCCUUUACCGGUCGGUAGAACGACAAACGGGCGCCGCCCGCAAGGAAGGCCUGACCCGGCAAAGCGAGAAACAGCUGUGUGUUUUCAGUCAUUUUUGCAGUCCUGGGCGUGCGAUUCUCAGUAAUAACGACUCUUCCGGCGGUCUGCCUGGGAGGGAAUGGAUGUGAAUAGACAAUAUCUGACAAGAAACGCAAGACUCCAAGUCUGAUGAAGCUAUAAAAGAUUUCAGAUGUACAAAAACCUGGCUUUGCCACGUCCGGCUCCUCUUUGCAUUGUUAGUAAACUGCAAACAACUCCA